rnacentral:rRNA from 1 species
AGAGUUUGAUCCUGGCUCAGGAUGAACGCUGGCGGCGUGCCUAAUACAUGCAAGUCGAGCGAACUGAUUAGAAGCUUGCUUCUAUGACGUUAGCGGCGGACGGGUGUGUAACACGUGGGCAACCUGCCUGUAAGACUGGGAUAACUUCGGGAAACCGAAGCUAAUACCGGAUAGGAUCUUCUCCUUCAUGGGAGAUGAUUGAAAGAUGGUUUCGGCUAUCACUUACAGAUGGGCCCGCGGUGCAUUAGCUAGUUGGUGAGGUAACGGCUCACCAAGGCAACGAUGCAUAGCCGACCUGAGAGGGUGAUCGGCCACACUGGGACUGAGACACGGCCCAGACUCCUACGGGAGGCAGCAGUAGGGAAUCUUCCGCAAUGGACGAAAGUCUGAUGGAGCAACGCCGCGUGAGUGAUGAAGGCUUUCGGGUCGUAAAACUCUGUUGUUAGGGAAGAACAAGUACAAGAGUAACUGCUCGUACCUUGACGGUACCUAACCAGAAAGCCACGGCUAACUACGUGCCAGCAGCCGCGGUAAUACGUAGGUGGCAAGCGUUAUCCGGAAUUAUUGGGCGUAAAGCGCGCGCAGGCGGUUUCUUAAGUCUGAUGUGAAAGCCCACGGCUCAACCGUGGAGGGUCAUUGGAAACUGGGGGAA